UACGUAGGGUGCAAGCGUUAAUCGGAAUUACUGGGCGUAAAGCGUGCGCAGGCGGCUUGCUAAGACAGGUGUGAAAGCCCCCGAGCUUAACUUGGGAAUGGCGCUUGUGACUGGCAGGCUGGAGUGUGGCAGAGGGAGGUGGAAUUCCACGUGUAGCAGUGAAAUGCGUAGAGAUGUGGAGGAACACCGAUGGCGAAGGCAGCCUCCUGGGCCAACACUGACGCUCAUGCACGAAAGCGUGGGGAGCAAACAGG
rnacentral:rRNA from 1 species